ensembl:lncRNA
CUAUACUACAGGACUGUUUUGAUCAAGUGGACUGGGACAUGUUUCGGGCAGCAUCUGAUGACGACAUAGAGUUGUACUCAGAUACUGUAACAUGUUUCAUCAGGAAGUGCGUAGAAGAUGUAGUGCUGACAAAAACAAUCCACAUCUACCCCAACCAAAAACCGUGGAUUAAUAGCGAUGUUCGAGCAGCCUUGUCAGUGCAGACAUCUGCUUUUAAAUCCGGAAACGCUGGUGAUCACAAACAAGCCAGUUACGAUCUCAGGAAAUCCAUCAAAGCCGCAAAAAGACAAUAUAAAAACAAAGUUGAAGAACAUUUCAACACCAAUGAUGUAAGAAGCAUGUGGCAGGGCAUCAAUAACCUCACAGAUUUUAAAGGAAAUAAACCAGCUACUGUGAACAUUGCCGCCUCUCUACCAGAUGAGCUUAAUAACUUCUAUGCUUGUUUCGAGGCUCACAACACCGCCCACACAGAGAGUGCUCCUGCAGCUGCUGCAGAAGAGGUGAGUGCACUCUCCAUCUCUGUCGCAGAUGUAACCCCAUCCUUCCCCAUCCGGGUGAAUAUCCACAAGGCUGCGGGUCCUGAUGGCAUCCCAGGCUGUGUGCUCCGAGCAUGCGCAUUCCAACUAGCCUGUGUUUUCCCAGAUAUUUUCAACCUCUCCAUUUCUCUGUCUGUGUUUCCCUCGUGCUUCAAAAAAUCCACCAUUGUGCCUAUACCAACGAAAAAAAAUAAAAUCACAUGCUUGAAUGACUGGAGGCCCGUUGCUCUGACACCCAUCUUCAGCAAAGUGUUUUGAGAGACUCAUCAGAGACUACAUCUGCCUCACUGGAUGCGCUACAAUUUGCAUAUUGAAGCAACCGUUCAAACAGACGAUGCUAUUGCUUUCACCCUACACACCGUUCUCUCCCACCUGGAAAAUAAGAACACCUAUGUGAGAAUGCUGUUUGUGGACUACAGCUCAGCUUUUAACACCAUAGUGCCUGCCACACUUUUUGCGAAGCUCCAUACUCUGGGACUAAACAGAUCUCUGUGCAGCUGGAUCCUGGACUUCCAUA